rnacentral:tRNA from 1 species
GGGGAUUUAGCUCAGUAGAAGAGCCUUUGCCCAGCAAGCAAACAGCCCUGGGUUUGAUACCCAGCCCUG